UACGGAGGAUCCGAGCGUUAUCCGGAUUUAUUGGGUUUAAAGGGUGCGUAGGCGGUUUGAUAAGUUAGAGGUGAAAUGUCGGGGCUCAACCCCGAAACUGCCUCUAAUACUGUUGGACUAGAGAAUAGUUGCGGUAGGCGGAAUGUAUGGUGUAGCGGUGAAAUGCUUAGAGAUCAUACAGAACACCGAUUGCGAAGGCAGCUUACCAAACUAUAUCUGACGUUGAGGCACGAAAGCGUGGGUCGCAAACAGG
rnacentral:rRNA from 1 species